UACGUAGGGGGCUAGCGUUGUCCGGAAUCAUUGGGCGUAAAGAGCGUGUAGGCGGUCCGGUAAGUCCGCUGUGAAAGUCGGGGGCUCAACCCUCGAAUGCCGGUGGAUACUGUCGGGCUUGAGUACGGGAGAGGCGAGUGGAAUUCCUGGUGUAGCGGUGAAAUGCGCAGAUAUCAGGAGGAACACCGAUUGCGAAGGCAGCUCGCUGGAACGUUACUGACGCUGAGACGCGAAAGCGUGGGGAGCAAACAGG
rnacentral:rRNA from 1 species